UUCCUAUUCCAGCAGCAGGAUGUGAUCCACCUGUUUGGAGGGACACCAACAAGGCAUCCGAUAAGAUAAGUCUUAUAAAAUAUAUAGAUUUAUGAUAAUUAAGACUGAGCUAACAGAUGAGGAAUCCUAGUCAUUGGCCAAGCAACAUUAAACCUAAUACAAGUUUCUGCAUAUUUAUUUGAACCUAACUCAAGCAGGCGGCUAGCUUAAAGCUUAAACGUGGCGGUGGGGCUCAGGCGGCUUUUGGCAGAAAGAUUUAUCAUCACAGAAUGGUGUCAGGAGUGAGAUGACCCUAUGCCCCAAAGUUUCCAGAGAAAGAGGGAAACCUGCCGCCCGCAACAGCCUGCCCUGUUGGGCUGCUGAGAGGCAUUGGAGCAGCUUCCAUAUGCUCGCCCAUCCCGCCGCUCUUGGGCAUUGUACUCGGCACUUCUGAGAUGAUGAAGACAGAUCCAGAAAAAGAAAAACCUCUAAAGGUUUACACUACAUUUAAAAAUAUAUAUAGGCUUGUGAGAGAAAAAGUAACAGGAGGAAAUAGAGUAACCGGUUAUGGUGGCCAACGCUGGUAGGAUUUGCUAAAGGAAACACAGGCAGGUGGAUUUUUACAGAGAAACCCUGUCUCAGAAAAGAAGAAACAAAAGGAGUAAAAGUAGAAUAGUAAAAAAGCCACCUAGAGAUACAAAUACACAGAGAAUCUGGACAUUAAUGCCAUACUGUGGUCUUUAAAUUGUUUGAUUGCCGAGGAAAGAAUUAUUGCUGCUAAAAUAUAUUUGAUUAUAAAUGCUGCUAAAUUAAUCCAACAUCUACAUUUUAAAAAUGCUUUGACUUCAAAAUUUAAGUUUAAGGACAACCUACUAAGAAAUAAAGAUUUUACUUGUAUUUCCACAAAAAAUCAAAAGCUGUUGAUUCUUUCCAGUUUAAUAUGGUUUGAUCCAGCAAAUCCCCCUGAAGCUGAGAUGAUACAGCCUUACAGACUACAAAAACAAGGACUUGCCUUCAUCCAGUAAUUGAUGAAAGCAGAAGCAGAGAUUCACAGCUAAGCACUAGGCUGAACACCUGGAGUCCAGUUGUAAAGAAGGAGGAGUGAUGAGCAAAGGGGUCAAGACCAUGCCUCAGAAACAGGUGAUCUGAGAAAGUGGAAGCUCACAGACUCCAGACUGACAACUUGAG
rnacentral:lncRNA from 1 species